rnacentral:rRNA from 1 species
GAUGAACGCUAGCGGCAGGCUUAACACAUGCAAGUCGAGGGGUAGAAGGAGCUUGCUCCUUUGAGACCGGCGCACGGGUGCGUAACGCGUAUGCAAUCUACCUUUUGCAGAGGGAUAGCCCAGAGAAAUUUGGAUUAAUACCUCAUAGUAUGUGAGGAUGGCAUCAUUUCACAUUAAAGUCACAACGGCAAAAGAUGAGCAUGCGUCCCAUUAGCUAGUUGGUAAGGUAACGGCUUACCAAGGCUACGAUGGGUAGGGGUCCUGAGAGGGAGAU